rnacentral:rRNA from 1 species
CGCGGCCUAUCAGCUUGUUGGUGAGGUAAUGGCUCACCAAGGCUUCGACGGGUAGCCGGCCUGAGAGGGCGACCGGCCACACUGGGACUGAGAUACGGCCCAGACUCCUACGGGAGGCAGCAGUGGGGAAUAUUGCACAAUGGGCGCAAGCCUGAUGCAGCAACGCCGCGUGCGGGAUGACGGCCUUCGGGUUGUAAACCGCUUUCAGUAGGGACGAAGCUAGCGUGACGGUACCUACAGAAGAAGGACCGGCUAACUACGUGCCAGCAGCCGCGGUGAUACGUAGGGUCCGAGCGUUGUCCGGAAUUAUUGGGCGUAAAGGGCUUGUAGGCGGUCCGUCGCGUCAGGAGUGAAAACUCGGGGCUUAACCCCGAGCCUGCUUUUGAUACGGGCGGACUAGAGGGAUGCAGGGGAGAACGGAAUUCCUGGUGGAGCGGUGGAAUGCGCAGAUAUCAGGAGGAACACCGGUGGCGAAGGCGGUUCUCUGGGCAUCACCUGACGCUGAGAAGCGAAAGCGUGGGGAGCAAACAGGCUUAGAUACCCUGGUAGUCCACGCCGUAAACGGUGGGCACUAGGUGUGGGGGACAUUCCACGUUCUCCGUGCCGAAGCUAACGCAUUAAGUGCCCCGCCUGGGGAGUACGG